GACGAACGCUGGCGGCGUGCUUAACACAUGCAAGUCGAACGAGACGAUUGAAAGCUUGCUUUCGAAAGUCGAGUGGCAAACGGGUGAGUAACGCGUAGACAACCUGCCUUUGAGAUGGGGACAACAGUUCGAAAGGACUGCUAAUACCGAAUGUUGUAUAUUUUCCACAUGGAAGAUAUAUUAAAGAUGGCCUCUAUUUAUAAGCUAUCGCUCAAAGAUGGGUCUGCGUCUGAUUAGCUAGUUGGUGGGGUAACGGCCUACCAAGGCGACGAUCAGUAGCCGGUCUGAGAGGAUGAACGGCCACAGUGGGACUGAAACACGGCCCAGACUCCUACGGGAGGCAGCAGUGGGGAAUCUUCCACAAUGGACGAAAGUCUGAUGGAGCAACGCCGCGUGAGUGAAGAAGGGUUUCGGCUCGUAAAGCUCUGUUGUCGGGGACGAAUGUGCAUUACUUGAAUAAAGUAGUGUAAUGACGGUACCUGACGAGGAAGCCACGGCUAACUACGUGCCAGCCGCCGCAGUAA
rnacentral:rRNA from 1 species